GUUCUUUUCUUUUCGUUUCUUUUCUUUACUUUUUUUCCUUGUGCUCUGUGAUUAUGCAUUUUUUCGAUCGUCCUCCUCUCCUUUCCUUCGUCUGGUUCAGAGAGAGAGAGAGAGUAGCUACUGUUAUCAAUGAUGAGAUUAAUGUUGCUAUUAGUGAUUCCUUCGGCGGCAACAAAUAGAUCGGAUGCCGGACGGAAAAGAGGAGGAUCGACAACAAGGAGUUCAUCGGACGCUGGACAGAAUAGAGGGAGAUCGAUGGCGGUGCUGAGAAUGAGGUUGAGGAACAGAUAUGAGGUUGAGAGGAAACAUAUAUGAGGAUGAGAGGAACCCUAGGAACCAUAUCCAAAUUCUACGCCGAAUGGAAAAGAGUUUUGGGGGCUCCUUUCGUUCCUCUGCUCUGCUGCUUGCCGUCGAGAGAUUUGUGAGGUUCUUGGGUGUUGUGCACUGGGGCUACAGGGAGAGGACGAACUUGAUGAGAGGGAAACAAAGUUAGGAGAGCAGUGGUGACAAUGAUGAGCAGCCGAAGCAAAAGUGGCAUGCUUUAGAAAAAUUUGGGGCUGUUCUACCAUCUAUUCCAUUGCCGAUCUUUGGAGCUCUGUACUGCAUCUUGUUUGCUUACAUGACUUCUGCUAGUCUUGGUUUACUUCAAUUCUGCAACCUCAACAAGCUCAGAACAAAGUUCAUAGUAGGUUAUUCAAUCUUCAUGAGCCUGUUUGUCACACAAUACUUCUAUGUCUACAUAGUAACUUCCGGACGUGGUCCUGUUUACACUCACGCACAUUGGGUAUGUUGUGCAUACAAUUUAUCCUUUCUAACUCAAAUGAAUUUUUGUAGUCGCAAAUAUUUUUGUGCUUGAAGAAGCUAAAUGAAAUUUCUAGCCAUUACUUGCAA